GUCAGUUUUAGAAGAUUGAUUUAGGACAAAAAAUAAAGUGUCAUGUAAUUUAUUGCAGAAAAAAUGUGCCAUGUAUUUACAACGGAGGGAAUAACAUCUAUGCAUAUAGUCACGCUUCAAGACAAUUAAGAAUAAUAGAAUCAUAGAACAUAAUUGAAUAAUAUUGUGUGUUGUUUAAAAAUAUCCCUUUUUGUCUCAUGCCAAAGGACAAGCUCAAAACCAGCCUAAAUCUCUUGUGGUUAACUAUGUCGCUAUCUAUGGGAGUUUUAUCCACAUGCGUUUCUUCUAUAUGCACAGAGGUUGUCUUACACAUGCGGGUGUUGAGUUUUUUUUACUAAAUUGAAUACUAUUUCAACAAUGUGAGAGCGAUGCAAACAUAAAGCAGGAUCAAAAGAACCAUUUAGAGCCAACAUACUUGGCCGCUAGAAUCGUCUCUCUGCUUAUUUUGGCACGACGAAAAGGUCGACGACACAGGACCUAUCAUUUCCUCAAGGGUCGUCUGCCAGCUUUGUUGUAGUUCGCUGACAGGCAGGAUCACACCCUGCAAAUCCAAACCAAAAAUGGACAAAAUGCAGGUGGGGGAGAAAGGAGAAAGAUGAGAUUAAUUUGGGACCUGGACCCAGGCGCGCUGGAAGUGGAUGUCGGAGAGCAUCUGCGUGGCGGAGCAACCCUCAAAGCAUGGCGCCUCGCUGCAGCCGGCGAGAUGGGAGCCAAAGAUCUUCAGCGCAGACACCUUCUACUAUGGCCCUCCCUCGUCCGCUACCAUGUGCCCCAUUCCAUGGACGAUGAGUGUCUCCAAUCUCCGGCGUGCCACCACUCCCAUUGUCUGUUGUGCUCCGACUGCGGCUGUGACGACACCUUCUGCUUUGGCCAUCUCACCUCAACGUCCUUGCGUCCCACUCCACCGUGUACCUAUCCCGCUCCUCAAUUCAUCCAAUCCCGCCUCGAGCCGGCCAUGCACCGGCGCGCCGCCACCGCCGUGCCCAGGGAGUUGGAGGAGGGUGGAUUAAAUGUUCAAGCAUCUGCUCGCCUCCACGAGCUGGGCGAGGCAGGGAGCUCGAGGGCGCAGGGUUGGUACGGGCGGGGCGGGGAGCUAGGGGCGGAGGGUUGGUGCGAGCAGGGCAGGGAGUUGUUGGCGGAGG
rnacentral:misc_RNA from 1 species